UGAACCCUCCAAUAAAUAUGCUUUGUAGAUACUAAUUUAUAAGUGUCAAGUUUGGUUCUCAUUUGAGAAAAGUUGGUUCUCAUUUGAAACUUUUAAAAAUAAAAAAUUGCAUAAUAAAGAUAAACUAUAAUUGCAAAUUAAUAUUCUACGUUGACAACUUGAUAUCUCUGUUUGUUAAAAAAAAAAAAAAAAAAAAACCUUGAUAUCUCUGUGACCAUGUUGAUAAUUUUCUAAUUAAAUUAAAGUUAUACGUUCAUAUCUUUUAAAUUAAAUUAAGAUUGAGAAAAACGAGAGUGGUAAGUAAGGUGUGAGGUGCUGACAAAGAAAAAAACAAAAGAAGAUGUGC
rnacentral:lncRNA from 1 species